GGUCAAUGAUGAGAAGUAAAAGGUCUGAAAGCACCAAUGUUCUCCUAAAGCCCAUUCAGCUCCCGGCAAUCUGCUUUAUUAUCUGUUUGGUACUGACACACAUCAGUAAUGCUGUGUUUGGUCUAAACGGUUGCUGACACAAUUGGAUACGCUCUGUGCCGCAUGCCUGUUAGAGUAAGGCUGUGCGGCUACUGCGCCAAUCCUACAUAUGAAAAGGACAAGGAGUUUGGGGAUGCAGGCAGAAUCGUAUAUGGUGCGUGAUCACAAGUUUUCAAGCUGAGGCC